rnacentral:rRNA from 1 species
UACGUAGGCAGCAAGCGUUGUUCGGAGUUACUGGGCGUAAAGGGUGCGUAGGCGGCUUUUUAAGUUUGGUGUGAAAUCUCCCGGCUCAACCGGGAGGGUGCGCCCGAAUACUGAGAGGCUAGAGUGUGGGAGAGGAAAGUGGAAUUCCUGGGUGUAGCGGUGAAAUGCGUAGAGAUCGGGAGGAACACCAGAGGCGAAGGCGGCGACCUGGACAGGCACUGACACUCA